CCUUGGUUCCAUCAUCUUCUUCAUUAUUCAACUUUCUGAGCACGGACGUUUCUGCAACUAUUGGCAACUGCAUUUUGAUCAGUGACGACAAGCAUUUCUUCCUAAUCAAUAAUAAGGUUCGUUCGAUCAACAACAUUAAAUACAAUGUAAUAGUUGGUGAUAAACAAUUCAUAAAGCAACUGAACUUGGGAUCUUGUCCCCGUUGAGUUUGGAAUUUCCAUUAACAUAGAUACUUAUGCUUAUGCUUUUUUCUAUUGUUAUGCAAGAGCAUUGUUGUCAACAUAUAGGGAUUGUGUUCGACCUGCUGGAAUUCAUUCAAAUUGAAGAGAACAAUAUCUUUAUAUCAAUAAAAUGAAACCAAUGUCUUUGUUUAUAUUCAUCCUUAAAUUGAAACAUAAGUUUGUAUGAAUUUAAACAUAUGAAAUACAAAUUUACGCACACUGAUAUACAGU